GCCGGGCACGGUGGUGGGUGCCUGUAAUCCCAGCUACUCAGGAGGCUGAGGCAGGAGAAUUGCUUGAACCCGGGAAGUGGAGGUUGCAGUGAGCCGAGAUUGCACUACUGCACUUUAGCCUGGGCAACAGAGCAAGACUCUGUCUCAA
ensembl:misc_RNA Metazoa_SRP Metazoan signal recognition particle RNA